UAUUUUAUCUGAGAGUUUGCUUGAGAUUGCUGCCAGUAAGAACUAGAAGCUCUACUUUAGGAACGUCGGGCCUAAGUGGCACCCCACCACCUCGGUGGCUACCCGGAAGAUCGUUGCGGCAACGAUGGCUGGUCACCAGAACUACCCUGACGGCGACACUGGCCAUGAAUAGUAGAAGUACGAAGAAAAGUUGUGGCAGUAAGCCGGGAGAGCUUACGGAAGCAUUAGCGCUAUGAAAGUUGGUAUUCUCAUACUUUCUGAUGUGUAUAUCACGGGGUACCUGGGAGUUUAGUUUGUUUGCAUUGAUCCCAUAUCAUUUUGUAUAUUUUGCUGUUAUCAUUGGGAUUUUGGACAUGAUCUCAAUAUGGUCUGUAACAAAAAAAAACUUGUCUGUUUCGUAUACAAUGGUUUUGGUCUUGGGUAUUAAGUGCUUGUCUAAUUUUGUUAAAACUCUUGAACUUGAUUAAUUUUGCUGCUUAUAGUUUAGUUUACUGUAUUUUAUGUACAAUAUGUCUUUUACCUUGACAUGAAUUUACUAAGUUAUCAAGGGUGUUAGCCUAAGUUUUUAAUUUCCAGUAUCUACAAGUCAUUUGUUUGGAACUUCAUAGAUGACAACAAACUUUGUUUUCAUGGUUUACCACUUAAAGGGAAUUCUUCUUGUA